rnacentral:rRNA from 1 species
GACAGGUGCUGCAUGGCUGUCGUCAGCUCGUGUUGUGAAAUGUUGGGUUAAGUCCCGCAACGAGCGCAACCCUUAUCCUUUGUUGCCAGCGAUUCGGUCGGGAACUCAAAGGAGACUGCCGGUGAUAAACCGGAGGAAGGUGGGGAUGACGUCAAGUCAUCAUGGCCCUUACGAGUAGGGCUACACACGUGCUACAAUGGCGCAUACAAAGAGAAGCGACCUCGCGAGAGCAAGCGGACCUCACAAAGUGCGUCGUAGUCCGGAUCGGAGUCUGCAACUCGACUCCGUGAAGUCGGAAUC